CGCCUCUUGCAAAAUUAACAAAUAAGAGGUCCCGCCUGCCCUGUGACUAUACGUUUAACGGCCGCGGUAUUUUGACCGUGCAAAGGUAGCGCAAUCACUUGUCUUUUAAAUGGAGACCCGUAUGAAUGGCACAACGAGGGCUUAACUGUCUCUUCUUUCAAGUCAAUGAAAUUGAUCUCCCCGUGCAGAAGCGGGGAUACGCACAUAAGACGAGAAGACCCUGUGGAGCUUUAGGCACCAAGGCAGAAUAUGUUAAAUACCCCAGACUAAUGAUUAAAACAAGUUAUGACCUGCCCUAAUGCCUUCGGUUGGGGCGACCGCGGGGAAAUGAAAAACCCCCAUGUGGAAUGGGAGCACAACUCCUACAACUAAGAGCCCCCGCUCUAAACAACAGAACCUCUGACUAAUAAGAUCCGGCAAUGCCGAUCAACGGACCAAGUUACCCCAGGGAUAACAGCGCAAUCCCCUUCUAGAGCCCAUAUCGACAAGGGGGUUUACGACCUCGAUGUUGGAUCAGGACAUCCUAAUGGUGCAGCCGCUAUUAAGGGUUCGUUUGUUCAACGAUUAAAGUCCU
rnacentral:rRNA from 1 species